AUUGAACGCUGGCGGCAGGCCUAACACAUGCAAGUCGGACGGUAGCACAGAGGAGCUUGCCCCUCGGGUGACGAGUGGCGGACGGGUGAGUAAUGUCUGGGAAACUGCCCGAUGGAGGGGGAUAACUACUGGAAACGGUAGCUAAUACCGCAUAACGUCGCAAGACCAAAGUGGGGGACCUUCGGGCCUCACACCAUCGGAUGUGCCCAGAUGGGAUUAGCUGGUAGGCGGGGUAACGGCCCACCUAGGCGACGAUCCCUAGCUGGUCUGAGAGGAUGACCAGCCACACUGGAACUGAGACACGGUCCAGACUCCUACGGGAGGCAGCAGUGGGGAAUAUUGCACAAUGGGCGCAAGCCUGAUGCAGCCAUGCCGCGUGUAUGAAGAAGGCCUUCGGGUUGUAAAGUACUUUCAGCGGGGAGGAAGGUGCUGAGGUUAAUAAGCUCAGCAAUCGACGUUACCCGCAGAAGAAGCACCGGCUAACUCCGUGCCAGCCGCCGCCGUAA
rnacentral:rRNA from 1 species